rnacentral:rRNA from 1 species
UUCGAGGUAGUGACGAGAAAUAACAAUACAGGGCAUUUUAUGCCCUGUAAUUGGAAUGAUGGGAAUGUAAAACCCUUCCAGAGUAACAAUUGGAGGGCAAGUCUGGUGCCAGCAGCCGCGGUAAUUCCAGCUCCAAUAGUGUAUAUUAGAGUUGUUGCAGUUAAAAAGCUCGUAGUUGGAUUUCUGUCGUGGUCAUCCGGCUCCGCCCGUAUGGGUGUGCGCCUGGUUUGCCCUCGGCUUUCUUCCGGUAGCCUUCCGCGCUUCACUGCGUGUGUUGGUGUUCUGGAACUUUUACUUUGAGAAAAAUAGAGUGUUUCAAGCAGGCUUGUCGCCCUGAAUACUUCAGCAUGGAAUAAUAAGAUAGGACCUUGGUUCUAUUUUGUUGGUUUCUAGGACCAAGGUAAUGGUUAAUAGG